rnacentral:rRNA from 1 species
GACGACCUCUGGCGGUAUGCUUAACACAUGCAAGUCGAACGAGAAGAUCAGUUAAGAACCUUCGGGGGAAUAAGUGAUUGGAAAGUGGCGAACGGGUGAGUAACGCGUGGGUAACCUGCCCUAUGGAAAGGAAUAGCCUCGGGAAACUGGGAGUAAAGCCUUAUAUUAUGGAGAGAUCGCAUGGUCAUUUCAUGAAAACUCCGGUGCCAUAGGAUGGACCCGCGUCCCAUUAGCUAGUUGGUGAGAUAACAGCCCACCAAGGCGACGAUGGGUAACCGGUCUGAGAGGGCGAACGGUCACACUGGAACUGAGACACGGUCCAGACUCCUACGGGAGGCAGCAGUGGGGAAUAUUGCGCAAUGGGGGCAACCCUGACGCAGCAAUACCGCGUGAGUGAAGAAGGUUUUCGGAUCGUAAAGCUCUGUUAUUGGGGAAGAAAACAUGACGGUACCCAAUGAGGAAGUCCCGGCUAACUACGUGCCAGCAGCCGCGGUAAUACGUAGGGGACAAGCGUUGUCCGGAAUGACUGGGCGUAAAGGGCGCGUAGGCGGUCUGAUAAGUCAGAUGUGAAAGGUACCGGCUCAACCGGUGACGUGCAUUUGAAACUGUCAGACUUGAGUAUUGGAGAGGCAAGUGGAAUUCCUAGUGUAGCGGUGAAAUGCGUAGAUAUUAGGAGGAACACCAGUGGCGAAGGCGGCUUGCUGGACAAAUACUGACGCUGAGGUGCGAAAGCGUGGGGAGCGAACAGGAUUAGAUACCCUGGUAGUCCACGCCGCA